UAUUACUUCGUAGGGAGUUACAUUUACGUCGGGAAAGGAUUUUGAGGCCCAGAGUGGAUUUUUUGUCAUAUCCCUAUCCAUUUUUAUUUGAGCGUUACCGUUUUUCUUUACAGUCAAUAAGAUACAUCCACCCUUACAUCAGAAACAUCAACCAUCGCGGCUGUGCUCUUACAUCCGAGCAGAUUCUUUGCGUUGCCUUACGUUUCUUUGCGAAUGGAAGUUUUCUUUAUAACAUCGGGGAUGCUGAACAUAUUAGUAAGGCUACUGUUUGCAGAGCGGUAAGGAAAGUGUGCCCCACUCUUAAGCGCUUUCUGAGAAUUUUUGUAUUGUUUCCUGGGCACAAACCAGUGAGAGUCAUCAAAGAGGAGUUUCACAGGAUUGCAGGUCAGUGGUGUAUAAAUCUGUUUAAAUGAGGCUAACCUGAUAAAUUACAUUCAGUUAAGAAUAUCUUGCUGCGACUCCUGGAAGUAACCUAAUAAUUAGAAUUCCCUUUAGGAUUUCCGAAUGUGGUUGGAUGCAUUGAUGGCACACAUAUUCCGAUCGUUGCACCUUCUGAAAAUGAAGCGGACUAUGUGAACAGGAGAUCCAUCCACAGUAUUAAUGUGCAGAUCAUAUGUGAUGCUGCACAUAUAAUUACAAAUGUGGAGGCCAAGUGGCCUGGCUCUGUUCAUGACUCAAGAAUCUAUCGAGAGUCAACCCUGAGCAACAGACUGGAAAGGGGAGAGAUUGAUGGCUUUCUGCUGGGAGAUAGGGGUUACCCAUGCCGACCAAAUCUUAUGGCCCCUUACCCAGAGCCUGAACCAGGCCCACAGCAGCGCUUCAAUGUGGCACACUGCAGGACGAGAGCCCGGGUGGAGAUGACCAUAGGCCUGUUGAAAGCACGUUUCCAGUGCCUACGUCACCUCAGGGUAACCCCUGAAAGGGCCUGCGACAUUAUUGUGGCAUGCGUUGUUCUCCAUAAUAUUGCCAUAAUUAGAGGGGAGCAACACCCUGCCCUACAAUUACAGGACCCUGAGGAAGACCCCAUCAACCCUGCAGAUUUCCAGGAUGGGUAGUCCGGGAUAUGAUAUGCUGCAAUGUCUUCUCUGAUUAAUACACAUGAUAUCCACCACCACCACAAAAAAAUGAAUAAACACAAAAUUACAGCAAUUUAUGGUGUUCUUUAUUUCAUACAAAUGCAACCACAAAAUAAAAUAAUUAAUAAACAAAAUCACAGCAAUUUAUAUAGUGUUCUUCAU